rnacentral:rRNA from 1 species
CGGAAUAACCGUUGGAAACGACGGCUAAUACCGGAUGACGACGUAAGUCCAAAGAUUUAUCGCCGAGGGAUGAGCCCGCGUAGGAUUAGCUAGUUGGUGUGGUAAAGGCGCACCAAGGCGACGAUCCUUAGCUGGUCUGAGAGGAUGAUCAGCCACACUGGGACUGAGACACGGCCCAGACUCCUACGGGAGGCAGCAGUGGGGAAUAUUGGACAAUGGGCGCAAGCCUGAUCCAGCAAUGCCGGGUGAGUGAUGAAGGCCUUAGGGUUGUAAAGCUCUUUUACCCGGGAUGAUAAUGACAGUACCGGGAGAAUAAGCUCCGGCUAACUCCGUGCCAGCAGCCGCGGUAAUACGGAGGGAGCUAGCGUUGUUCGGAAUUACUGGGCGUAAAGCGCACGUAGGCGGCUUUGU